ACUUUGAUGUAUGUUGCUUGAAUUUCCAGCAUCUGCAGAAUUCCUGUUGUUUGCGUUAAAUUCACUACUGCGAAGCCUCUUCCGGUGAUGCCUACACCGAAGAAGUUUAGAUCCUCUCUUCGACGGGAGUUCAGUGAAACCAUCUCUCACUGCUCCCCAUCUGUAAUUUCUUCGGCUCUUCAACUUUUCGACCACACUAUUCUUGACGAAGGGUCUCGGCCUGAAACGUCGACUGCACCUCUUCCUAUAGAUGCUGCUUGGCCUGCUGCGUUCACCAGCAACUUUGAUGUAUGUUGCUUGAAUUUCCAGCAUCUGCAGAAUUCCUGUUGUCUAUCUAUCUAAAGUCAGAUGCAUCUGUAUUAUAGUGGAAUAAGAGGAAUUACAGAGUCAUGAGAGAGGAGCUGGCCAAAAUUGAUUGGAAGGGAACACUAGCAGGGAAGACGACAGAGCAACAAUGGCUGGAGUUUCUGGGAGCAAUUUGGAAGGCACAGGAUAAAUACAUACCUAAGAAGAAGAGGUAUUCUAAAGGCAGGACGAUGCAACCCUGGCUGACAAGAGAAAUCAAAGCCAAUAUAAAAGUCAAAGGGAGGGCACAUAAUAGAGCAAAAAUUAGUGGGAAGUUCAAGAAUUGGGAAGUUUUUGUGUUCCUCCAUUGUCGAUGUCGAUGAGGACCUCGACACCAUUAUGAUGGUGUUGAAACUAGCAUGUGAUUUGGAUUUAAGUGAGGGAGAGUUGCACAGUGUCAGCCUCACUCUCUUUUCCCAAUUUCCAUCUGGAUCCAGUGGCAAGACAGAGUCGAGAUGGCUGGAGAUGGGACUAGGUGCAGUGGAUGACCAGGACGUCUUCUGUGCCUUGUCCUGCUCUACACGUUCCACGACGCUUGCAGAGACCACCUUCCUGACCGUUGGACCUUCCAUUGGUCUCGUCCACUCAAUCUGCCGGAGUCUGUCUUCACAUGCUGGGAUAGACAACUCCCUAUCUCACCGAGGGUUUGAGACCCGUUGGCUACCCUCACCUGGUUUAGCCGGCUUGUCGAAGCCGUUGCCCGGGGUGUGGCCGCUGUCACAUGCAAACAGCUACGGGGAGCCACAGGUGAGAGCUGAGUGCCAGGUGGGGACCAAAGGUGGACAAACCGCCCUGAAAAGGACGCGACGUGUUCCCCCACCAGAGAUGCUACCCCUCCCUGACACCCCAUACACCCCGAGCUUUUAAAAACCAACAAAAGGCAUCUAAAUAAAUCAUAAAGAAGAAAGAGGUCAAAUAUGAAGAUAUGCUAGCCAAUAAUGUUAAAGAAGAUUCAAAAAAUUUCUUCAGAUAUAUGAAGCAUAAAAGAGAGGUGAGAGUAGAUAUCAUACUGCUGGAAAAGGAUGUUGGAGAGGUAGUUAUGGAGGGGAUUUCACUCAGGUCUAUUGCCCACGUAGAAAAGGCAGCAGUGGAUCACUAUGGUGAAAAGGAGCUUUGACCAGCAACCAAUCAUGGUUUGGAAUUGAUUAGCAAUAACAAAUUAAAGGAAGUCAGGGGCAAGCGCAAUGGCUGUUGUCUAUGGUCUGAGUCAGAGCAGUGACCUUGAGGCUUCAGCCAGAAAAUGCAAAGAAAAGAAAAGCUGAAGGUUAAGUUUUGUUUCCCCUUCCCUUCUUUCUAUCUGCUGAGCUAGGACAGUAGAGAUGCCAGGAAGGAUAGUGGAAAUCUCCUCUUGUGGGAUGUGGGAAGGCAGGGAAACCUUAAUUGUCCCUGACAACUACAACUGCGAGAAGUGCAUCCAGUUACAGCUUCUAACAAUUUGCGUUAAGUAGUUGGAGCCGGAACUGGAUGAGUUCCGGAUCAUUCGGGAGGCUGAGGGGCUGAUAGAUAGAUCAUAUCGUUACACCCAAGGUGCAGGACAGAGUGGAGAGGGGUUAUGCAGCCAAUGCAGUGUACCCCUGCGGCCAUCCCCCUCAACAACAGGAUACUGUUGGGGUUGGGGAUUGACUUAACCAGAGGAGAGUCACAGUGGCUGGGUCUCUGGAACAGAGUCUGACUCUGUGUCUCAGAAUUAAAGGGGAGAGAAGAGGCUCGCUGUGGUGAUAGGGGAUUCAUUAGUUAGGGGAACGGACAGGAGGUUCUGUGGGUGAAAACACGAUUCCUCGAUGGUAUGUCACCUCCUGGGUGCCAGGUCCGGGAUUUCUCAGAUUGAGUUCUCAGCAUUCUUAAGUGGGACGCUGAACAGCAGAUGUCGUGGUCCACGUAGGUACCAAUGAUGUGAGUAGAGUGAGUGAUGAAGUUCUGCAUGGGGAGUUCAGGGAGUUAGGUGCUACGAUAAAGGGCAGGACCUCCAGGGUGGUGAUCUCAGGAUUGCUACUCAUGCCCUGUGCUGGUGAGGCCAGAACUAGGAAGAUAAUACUGUUUAAUACGUGGCUAAGGAUCUAGUGUAGGAGGAAAGGCGUAAAAUUUUUGGAUCAUUGGGCUCUCUUCCAGGAAAGAUGAGACCUGUACAGAAGAGACAGUUUGCACCUGAACUGGAGGGGGACUAAUAUCCUAGUGCGAAGGUUUGUUAAUGCUGCACAGAGGGGUUUCAACUGGAAUUGCAGGGGAUGGGAACCAGAAUGCCAGAACAGGUAGUGGAGAGGUUGUGGAAGCAGAUGUGGGUAAAACCUCAGACAAAGUUAGGAAUCAAAAGGUUGAGCAUAGUGCAACAGGUGUCUUGAGCUGCAUAUAUUUCAAUGUAAGAAAUAUUGUAGGAAGGACAGAUGAUAGUGCUGAAGAUGAGGUAGCUGGUUUACAAUCCAAGGCAAUUUGUAGUGAGGAGAGGCUGAUGAUAGGGCGAAAUUGCAGUCAACAGGAUGAGUUGCAACAUGUAAGGCAGAAAAAAGUGAAAAGGGUGAAUACAGGACUGAAGGUGUUAUAUUUGAAUGUGCACAGCAUGCAAAAUAAGGUAGAUGAACUUGUAGCACCGUUGCAGAUUGAUAUAUAUGAUAUUGUACAUGGCUGAAAGAAGAUUAUAGCUGGGAGCUUAAUGUCCAAGGGGAGAGAGAGAAGGAGAGGUAGGAAGGCAGAGGAGGCAGCAUUGCUCUGUUGGUAAAAAAAAAAUGAAAUCAGAUCAUUAGAAAGAGGUGACAUAGGGUCAGUAAGUGUUGAAUCAUUCUGGAUAGAGCUAAGGAACUGCAAGGCUAAAAGGAACCUGAUGGGAGUUGUAUACAGACCCCCAAGCAGUCGUAAGAAUGUGGUCUACAAAUUAUAAUGCAUGCUAAAAGGACAAUGUUGCAAUAGUCAUGGGGGUUUCAAUAUGCAGGUAGGUUGGGAAAAUCAGGUUGGCACUGAACUCCAGGAGGGGGGAUUUCUAGAGAGCAGCUCAUGGCUGAGCCCAUCAGGGGAUCAGCAAUUUUGGAUUGGGUGUGGUGUAAUGAGCUGGAAUUGAUUAAACAGCUCAAGGUAAAAUAACCCUCAGGAGUAGACUCGAUGGGCCAAAUGGCCUAAUUCUGCCCCUAUAGCUUAUGGACAUAAUAUGAUCGAAUUCACCCUUAAAUCUGAGAAGGAGAAGCUAAAGUCAGACGUAUCAGUAUUACAGUGGAGUAAAGGGAAUUACAGAGAUAUGAGAUAGGAGUUAGCCAGAAUUGACUGGAAAAGAACACUGGCAGGGAUGACGGCACAGCAGCAAUGGCUGGAAUUUCUGGAAGCAAUUCGGAAGGCACAGGAUAUAUACAUCCCAAAGAGGAAGAAGUAUUCUGAAGGCAAGAUGACGUAACCAUGGCUAACAAGAGAAGUCAAAACCAACAUAAAAGCCAAAGUGAGGGAAUAUAGUAGAGCAAAAAAUAGUGAGAAGUUAGAGAAUUGGGAAGCUUUACAGAAGGGAAUUGAGAAUACCAACUGAAGGCAAUGAAAAAAAUCAUUAAGAAUGUAAAGAUGGAAUAUGAAAUUAAGCUAGCCAAUAAUAUUAAAGAGGAUACCAAAAGUUUCUCCAGACACAUAGAGUGUAAAAGAGAGUGGAUAUUGGGCUGCUGGAAAAUGAUGCAGGAGAGGCAAUACUGAGGGACAAGAAAAUGGUGGACGAACUGGAUAAGUAUUUUGCAUCGAUCUUCACUGUGGAAGUACGCUGGAAGUUUGAGAAUGUCAGGGAGCAGAAGUGACUGAAGUUGCCUUUACUCGGGAGAAAGUGCUUGGGAAACUGAAUGGUCUGUAGGUAGAUAAGUCACCUGGACUAGAUGGUGUGCACCCCAGGGUUCUGAAAGAGGUGGCUGCAGAGAUUGUGGAGGCAUUAGUAAUGAUCUUUCAAGAAUCAAUGGACUCCGGUAUGGUUCCAGAAGAAUUAAAAUUUGCAAAUGUCACUCUGCUCUUCAAGAAGGGAGAGAGGCAGAAGAAAGGAAAUUAUAGGCUUGUUAGUCUGACCUCAGUAGUCGAGAAGAUGUUGGAGCCAUGAGGUAAUGUUACAGCUAUAUAAGACCUUAGUUAGACCCCACUUGGAGUAUUGUGUUCAGUUCUGGUCACCUUACUAUAGGAAGGAUGUGGAUACUAUAGAGAGAAUGCAGAGGAGAUUUACAAGGAUGUUGCCUGGAUUGGAGAGCAUGCCUUAUGAGAAUAGGUUGAGUGAACUUGGUCCUUUCUCCUUGGAGUGACGGAGGAUGAGAGGUGACCUGAUAGAGGUGUAUAAGAUGAUGAGAAGCAUGUCCUAGGUGAUAAGGCCAAACUCCCUGUAGACUUGUUUAAAGUUGUAAUAAAAAAACGACUCCAUAAUUGUGAAUCUGAUGUCUUGCAACGAGGUUGAGACUUCCAGCAAAAUGCUCGUACCUGUCAAGCAAGUCACUCCACAGUACAAGGAAAGUUUGCAAAAGAAAUAGAAAAGCAUUAGCAUUGAGACUGACAACAAGGAAUAUAUAUAUUAUAUAUAUGUGUGUGUGAGUGUGUGUGUGUGUGUGUGUGUGUGUGUGUGUGUGUAUAAAUAGUUUCAAUAUGUGAUCAAACAAAAUGUUGUGCUCUUUCAUAAUCAAAUGUCCUGUAUACAUACACCCUUGGAGGUCGACGCGGGGGUGGGGUGAUGCUACCUCCCUGAAAUGAGUUUUUGCAGGGUGGGAUGUCUGGGUAUGUUUAAACCAGAGGCUGAUGAUUCUUGAUUAGUCAGGGCACGAAGAGAUACAUUCAGAUUAGAGGAAAAUGAAUCCGUCAUGAUGUAAUGGAGGCGGAGGCUCGACGGGCCAAAUGGGGUAAUUCCGCUCCUACAGCUGAUGUUUCAGGAGCCUGGUGGUUGAGGGGUAGUGACUGCUGCCGAACCUGGCGGUGUGAGCCCUGGGGCUCCUGAGCAGCAGCGAGAAGACAGCCCGGCCGAGAUGGUGGGCGCUGCUCUCUCCGUGUAGAUGUGCCUGUCAGUGGUGGGAGGGCUUGUUCCGUGAGGGUGGGAAAAAUGAGGGUUUUAAAGUCCGGUGAUUUCAAUGGAAAGGUUCGUCUUGUGCACCAUUUGUUUAUUUAUUGUGAUCUGCGCACUGCACUGCGACAGGCGGCGAGCGCCUCAGACCGGAGCCGGGGAAGGCGGACGGCCGCCAUGCGCGCGCGCCCGCCCGCGGCCGCUGACGUCACAAUGCGGAGAGCAGGACGGGAAGGAGAUGCCUGUGCCUGCGCAGGCGCGUCGGCUGCGGGACAUGGCAAUGGUCAGUCUCCAAGCAGUCUCGGCACUGACCCGCCCGAUUCCGAGUUCCAGUCGCGGCCUUACCACAGGCAAGCCAUCCCUUGAAGGUGACUCCAGCGAGACCUGGACUAUUGGUUUGGAAGAAUGCAUUCUCUAGUCUUCUUCUGCGCGCAGAAAGUGAUCUCAGACCACGCCUCGACUCGCAAAGCCCUGGACUACAUACCUAAUGAAAUCUACCCGGUAUUGUUCAAAGCAGCGUUCCUGGACCUACGCACACUGGUGCUGCGCGACUUGGUACAGCGAUGGCCCUUCAGCGUCCUCAACUUCUCCGCCAUCCUGAGGAGCUGCAAGCACUGCGACCGCGAUGUGAUCCGGGAAAAGCCCAACAAACAGUGCCUGCAGGCAGUCAUAAUGGGAGUGAAGGACUAUCUGAUAAGUGAGUUACGACAGAGCAGAACCCUUGGCAGCAGAAAAACAAAAGCAUCAACGUCUCAGAAAGAUUUCAAGCUUAGGAAACAUCGAUCGCUCCGUGUCGUGGAUCUCACAGGUCUGCAAGAUGAUGGGGACAAGCAAGAUGCAGAUACCAUCGGACAGUGGUCCCGAACAGUGGCUCUAGCUAAAGCCUGCAUUGAAGUAUCCCGGACUAGCAGGAGGGAUGAAUUAAGUUCAUCUAAACGGAGGAAGGGGAAGAGUGGGGUUCCUUUGGAAGGUGCAUGUGAAAAUCCGAUUUGUGUGGAGAUACAUGCCAAUCUCUUUGUCACAAGUAACUCUUACGGGACGGUGAAGGAUGCGCUGCAGGUGGGGAAGACCUCUCCCUUGUGUCUGAAAUGCCGUGACCUUCGGGCGGAAGAAUUAUCUGCCAAGAAAACCAUCAGUAUCUUGGAGCUUUUGGACACCGUGGUUCUCAGGAAGCUUGAGCUACGCUAUAACAACCUUGGUCUUUGCUGUCUGAGCACGGUCUUCCCUUCCUUGCCCAUGUUUGAGAAUCUGAUCAGUCUGAAGCUCCCCUACAGUAAUAUUGACGUAAGAAACAUGACUCCAGAAAUAGAGGAAUCCUUCCAAAGCAUGGUGUCUGUGUUCGGUCAGCUGCCUAAUGUGAAGGAGUUAAAUUUGGCAUCCUGCAGACUGUCAGGAAGAAUCAGUGAACUGCUGAGUGUUUUGCAGAAGCCAUUGGAAAGCUUGGAGCUGCCCUACUGCUUCCUCCUUCCAGCAGAUGCAACCUAUCUGGCCAAUAGCCAUCAUGCCCCUUUCCUGAGAAAGUUGGAUUUGAGUGGCAACAACUUGUCUGAUGUCCUCCUGGGCCCCUUUUGCCAGAUUUUGCAGCAGGCCUCUAACUCAUUGGUGUACCUGGAUAUCAUGGAGUGCAGGGUGAUGGACCAGCAGCUCACCUCUUUCCUGCCCGCCCUCAAGCACUGCUCUCAGCUUCAGUACCUGAGUUGUUUUUGCAACCCGAUCUCCAGUCAGGGUCUCAAGACGUUGCUUCACACUGCCGUGCAGUUGCCAUCUCUUAAAAUUGUCGUGCACCCUAUUCCGGUCGACUGCUACGAAGAAGGACUUCCUUGGCCACCGUCUACAUAUGACCUUAUUGACUACAGUAUUGAUCAACAGAAGCUCAGUAGGGUCGACGCAGAGCUGAACGAGAUACGUUUAAAGGCAGUGAGGACAGAUAUCGUAACCACAGUCGAGCUAUACAAUGAUUUCUCACUCGACAUGUUGCAAUUGUACUGAAGCAAACCCAUCUUCAUUUUUAACAACUGGAACAGCUUGUAUUAAAUGCGUUUGAGACGAUGCCACUUACAUGAAUACUUAUAUAUUCACAAAUGUCUGCUUAAAGGUAUAAAAAGAGUAAUUACAUUGACACCUUUUAAAGGAGUUCGUAAAGUUGAACUAAUUUAUUUAAUGCCUUCCCCAGCUUAGCCUGCACGUAAUGCACGACGCUAAAGGAAGUAUCUUGUUUUUCACUCCCCAUCUAGAUGGGCCAUUAAGUAGUGGGUUUGGCUCAAAGAUGUGAAGUGCCUACUACAGGAGUAGGCAUCAUGUUGAAGUCCAAACAAGAGCACUGACUUGUUUUGUAAGAUUGGGGAAGUGUAGCAUGUUUUUAAACAGACCUCUUUGCAGUGAAUUUCCACUCAAGAGCUGAUUGAGUAAGAAAUAUGCUUGUUUCUGUCAUUUUGGAUAGAUGUGGAAGUGAUUACAUUUGUGUUUCCAACAUUCCUGUACAGUCCAGGGGUUCCCAACCUGGGAUCCAUGGACCCCUUGCUCAAUGAAAUUGGUCCCUGGCAUCAUAAAAGGUUGGGAACCCCUGCUCGACACCUCCGGGUCAAUAUUUUGCAGAACAUCUGGACAAUCUGUGCAUUUUGAGAUACUAAAAGUGUAAAAAAAAAAUCUCAAACGUCCACAGUGAUUCACCAGCUCGGAGAAGAAGCUUACUGGUGCCCCUAAUCUGUUUAUCGAUUUGCUGCACAACUAUUUACAACUGAAGCUGCUAAACUGUUGCUGACAACCUGUUUGUUCUUCACCCAGUUAGGGGAAUCAGCUGGAUGUUAAGUAGCAGCUUGCUAUUUGCCUCCCUGGCUUGCACAGGUGGGAUGCAACGUCCAUGGUCGACUGCGACCAACGGAGGGCCUCAGGUAUUUUGAGGAGAAUAAUGAGAAGAGCCUCUGUAUUGAUUAACCGUGCAUUUCUGCCGGGUGUAUUUUAUGUUCUGGUGAGAGUUGGCCUUGUUGCUGACAAAUGCUUUAAGUAGCUAGUGCUACGGUUGAUCCUUGUUCAUGUCAAGAGGUAUUGAGUUGUAAUUAUUUAGGGAAAGAGUCAUUGCAUCUGCUGAGAGUGGAAUAUGUCAGUAUUUCCUAGUGGUAGUGGUAGUAGUGUGGAAUGUUUGGAACAGAGGUUGGCCUCCAGUGACAACACAGUGCUCUGCCUUGCAGCGGGUUCAUGCAGAUUAGAGAAGGAGGUAGCAACUGGCAUUUCGGAGACCCCAAUCCAACCGGGAAUUUACUCAGUUGGAAGUUCUGGACACAACGUUUUAAAUACAUUCACAGUUUCAGAGAAAGUAGUGAGGCCCAGAAGGAAUAUAGAAAUUCUGUAAUCAGUUGUGGGAUCCUGGCAGGAUAUUUAACUGUUGACUAUUCAUCCAUUAAAAAAAAAUUAGCCAGACAACCCGACUGAGACAAAAGUUCUGAUAUUCUGACAUAAAGAGCUAUUAUUUCUUCAUCACUAGGGCUCUGGAUUGGGGUUUACUGCUCUUUAACAGUUGAAUGCAAAGGGUCAGAUUUGCAGGUUAAAUGCCUGCUCUUGCAUCUACUCAGAAGGGCAUGUGAGCUGGGUUACAAUUGCCCAGAAAUUGUGGAUCUAGAACUGGCUUGCCCACAGAAGGCAAAGAGUGGUUGUAGACGGGUCAUUUUCUGCAUGGAGGCCAGUGGCCAGUGACCAGUGGUGUGCCUCAGGGUCUAUCCUAGGACCCUUACUCUUUGUGAUUUUUAUAAAUGACCUGGAUGAGGAAGUGGAGGGAUGGGUUAGUAAAUUUGCUGAUGACAGAAAGGUUGGGGGUGUUGUGGAUAGUGUGGAGGGCUGUCAGAGGUUACAGUGGGACAUUGAUCGGAUGCAAAACUGGGCUGAGAAGUGGCAGAUGGAGUUCAACCCAGAUAAGUGUGAAGUGGUUCAUUUUGGUAGGUCAAAUAUGAUUGGCAGAAUAUAGUAUUAAUGGUAAGACUCUUGGCAGUGUGGAGGAUCAGAGGGAUCUUAGGGUCCAAGUCCAUAGGACGCUCAAAGCAGCUGCACAGGUUGACUCUGUGGUUAAGAAGGCAUACGGUGUAUUGGCCUUCAUCAAUCGUGGAAUUGAAUUUAGGAGCCGAGAGGUAAUGUUGCAGCUAUAUAGGACCCUGCUCAGACCCCACUUGGAGUAUUGUGCUCAGUUCUGGUUGCCUCACUACAGGAAGGAUAUGGAAACCAUAGAAAGGGUGCAGAGGAGAUUUACAAGGAUGUUGCCUGGAUUGGGGAGCAUGCCUUAUGACAACAGGUUGAGUGAACUCGGCAUUUUCUCCUUGGAGCGACGGAGGAUGAGAGGUGACCUAGUACAGGUGUAUAAGAUGUUGAGAGGUAUUUAUCGUGUGGAUAGUCAGAGGCUUUUUCCCAGGGCUGAAAUGGUUGCCACAAGAGGACACAGGUUUAUGGUGCUGGGGGGUAGGUACAGAGGAACUGUCAGGGGUAGGAUUCUUACUCAGUGGUGACUGCGUGGAAUGGGCUGUCAGCAAUGGUGGUGGAGGCGGAUACGAUAGAGUCUUUUAAGAGACUUUUGGAUAGGUACAUGGAGCUUAGAAAAAUAGAGGGCUGUGGGUAAGCCUGGUAAUUUCUAAGGUAGGGACAUGUUCGGCACAACUUUCUGGGCUGAAGGGCCUGUAUUGUGCUGUAGGUUUUCUAUGUUUCUAAAUAAGGCCACUGCUCUUUCUUUGAAAGUCGGUUAAAGGUGACAUAGGCACCCAAAUCAUCCCAUGGUUUAAAAGAAGACCUGAAGCAAGGAUGAUGUUCUGCCACUUGAAUGUCAAGCACCAGCGGGGAAGUACUUAAUCCUCUACCUUGGAUGUCAAAGUAAGCUGACGCUGGGAAUAUGAAAAUGCUGGAAAUGUUCAGGAGGAAAAACAUGGCAAGAGAAACAGCUGUCGUUUCAAAUGUUGUCAUUGUGACUUUACCUGUUACCCCCUCCCUGCAUCUCACUUGCUGAACUGUAUCCCCCAACUUUUCCAGGGCUUUGAUCUGAAAUGUUAGAUGCUAUGUGACCUUCUGUGAUUUUCCAGCAAUUUGUAAUUUUAUAUUAGCUGUAGAAUAAAACCCACUGUAGUGGUGAACCAUCUGAAUUAGAAUCUUGAAGUUAAUGGGGAGGUUCAUUCCCAUUAGAUCUAUCAUGUUGUAAGUGAAAAUAAAAAAUAUGGAUGCUGGAAAUCUGAAAUAAAAACAGAAGAGUUGUAAAUACUCUGCAGGUCUGGGGCCCAUCUGAGUGAAGCAGAGCUGAUGUUUCUGACGAAGCGUCUUUGACCUGAAACUUCAGCCCUGUUCCACUGAUGGGAUCAGACCUACUGAGUAUUUCCAGCACCUGCUGUUUUUAUUUCAGAUUAAUCAUCUUGUUUGCAUAUAGUGCAUGUUUCUGUUUAAAUGGGCCAAAAGCAUUUAGCUGUAUAAAGAAAUGUGUGUUAGAUUUGAGCCCUUAUCCUUAAGUGUCCUUGUCCAUUCAUGUUGUACCACUUCAGAAAUGUAUCUAUUAAAAUUCAACUUCUAUUCUGUUUUGUUAUUUCAUUUAAUUUUUAUUUUUAUUCCAUUUAGUUAUUGUACUAGAAUUUCUGAUUUGGUGGUAUAUUACUACUGGUUGUUAGUGAGGAAUCAAUGAUUUUUACACACAGCAAGAAAGACGAUCACCGUGAUACAUUAAAUCAACUGAGAAUAAUUGCCAGUUUUGAAUAGAAUUUGUUUGUUACUAUACCUCUGAGGUUUUGAAAAAAAUUGGAAUGGGAGACAAAUUAAUAACUUGGAUUAAGCUACUGUACAGUAACCCUAGUGCUAAAAUACUAACUAAUCAGACCCUCUCGGAACCAUUCAGUUUGCACAGGGGCACAAGACAGCUGUGCAUUAAGUCCUUUAUUGUUUGCGUUGGCCCUGGAACAACUGGCGGAGACUAUAUGUUCUCACCCCGAAAUUUAUAGGUACAAUACAGAAUAUACUAUCAACAAAAUUUCCCUUUAUGCUUUGUUUGUAACGAAACCAUAUAUUACUAUUCCAGUUUUGCUGGAAAUAGUCAAUUUAUUUGGCUCUUUCUGGGGUAUAAGAUUAAUUGGGGGAAAAGUGAAUUAUUCCCAGUCCAAGUAGAACAGGAGGGUCUUAAACAAUUUCCAUUCAAAAUAACCCUUGAGAAGUUUACUUACCUUGGAAUUGUAAUAACCAAAAAGUAUAGUUCUGUAACAACAGGAAUUCUGCAGAUGCUGGAAAUUCAAGCAACACACAUCAAAGUUGCUGGUGAACGCAGCAGGCCAGGCAGCAUCUCUACGAAGAGGUACAGUCGACGUUUCAGGCCGAGAUCCUUCGUCAGGACUAAGGGUCUCGGCCUGAAGUGUCGACUGUACCUCUUCGUAGAGAUGCUGCCUGGCCUGCUGCGUUCACCAGCAACUUUAAUGUGUGUUGCAAGUAUAGUUCUCUAUUUGAAGCAAAUUUUAUCCCUCUAAUUGAAAAGAUUAAAAAGAAAAUAGAAUUUUAGAAGACACUCCCAAUUUCUUUAGUGGGUAGAGUAAAUGCAGUCAAGAUGAUCUUUCUUCCCCAACUGCUCUAUCUAUUUCAGAACCUGCCCCUUUAUCUUAACAAAACCUUUUUUUACCUUUUAUAUGGAAUUAUAAAGCCCAUUGAAUUAGGAAAGAACAUCUCUGCAAGAAUAAGACUAGUGGGGGGCUGGCACUACCCAACUUUAUUUUUUAUUACUGGGCGGCUAACGUUAGCCAUAUAGCAUACUGGAUAGAUGAUGCAGUUGUACUUCCCGAAUGGUUGGAGAGGGAGUGUGAGGAUUGCCUACCAUAUUCCAUAGGGGCAAUCAUGUCCCCUAUUCGGUUAAAUAAAGCCUGUUAUAGAGGCAAUCCCAUUAUCCAUAGCACCAUACAGAUGCGCAGACAAAUGGGGAAGCAUUUGAAACUCAGAACAUGAUCUUUUCUUGUACCUAUAUCAGCAAACCCCUCUUUUAUCCCCUCAUGUAUAGAUGGGGCCUUUGAUGCAUGGUGAGAAUUAGGGACAUGCAGCAUUGGAGACUUAGACAUACAAGGGAUUUUUGCGUCAUUUCAGCAGCUCCAGGACAAAUUCAGAUUGCAAAAGAGUCAUCUUUUCAGGUAUCUCCAGCUAAAACACUAUAUAAGAUCACAUCUUUCUGGUUUUGAGACGGCAGAACCUGAUACUUUUAGAUAAUCAUUUAAGAUCAUGUUUAGGGACAGAACACAUCUGUAUGAUGCCAUACAAAACAAGUGUCAUACAACAAUGGAUGAUAUUAAAAAAGAGUGGGAAAAGGAGUUGGGUACAGAGAUAGAGGAAGUUGUAUGGAAUGAGGCUUUGGAGUAUGUUAAUUCCUGUUCCAUCAAUGCCAGGCAUUAAUACAAUUUAAAAUCCUACAUAGACUACAUUACUUAAAAGUAAGGAUUCAUAAGAUAUUCCCAGAGGUGUCCCCAAUGUGUGAGAAAUGCAAGUCCUUGGAGGCAAAUUUGUUACAUAGUUAUGCUUUAUGUCCCAGGAUACAAGAGUAUUGGAAGCAAAUAUUUGAGGUCCUAUCGAAGGUGCUAAAGGUUCAGAUAAUACCAGACCCCAUUUUAAUAAUUUUUGGAACUUUUGCGAGGUCAAAUAAAUUCCAGGCUACCCAGCAACAACUCCUGCCCUAUGGCAUACUUAAUGAAAAGAAACUCAUACUGAUGUUCUGGAAAAAGGAGGAAACUCCAUCACUCAGACAAUGGCUGGCUGCAUUAAUGGAUGCUCUGCAUCCAGAGAGGAUAAGAUACGUUAUCAAGGACAGACUCAAGGAAUUUGAAAAAAUCUGGCCACCAUUACUGUUGUAUUUAGAAGAGACCGACAGCUGAGCUAAAUAUGGGGGGCGGUAGGACCUAAACAGCACAUACAGGAGGGGUGAGGGGAGGGGAGGGCUGGGAAGGGGAAAGGAGAUGGGGUGGUAGGGUUUCCUCUGCUUUUUGCUUGUUUACUAUACAUACAUUCAUUUGACUUUCACUAUGUUAUAAGAAAGAAAAGAAAAGAGAAGCGUUGUACUUUAGGAUAUUGUCGGUUGUGGUUAAGCUGAUGUUGCUUCACAAUAAAAACAUUUGAAAACAAUUCUUGAAAAAAAAUUUGUUCAUUACUGCAUAUUCUGAGUAAUCACUGCACUAGCUGAUCAAGGUAUCACCUUAUUCUCAUAUUUUAGAUCUUUUUCAUUUAGUGCUUCAAUGUAAACGUACUGGUGGUAAAUUUCCUGGGUUUUUUUGCCUUUGGGGGGUUCUUGCAUUCUAUGGCUUAUAGAGCUAAGUUCUAGGGAAACUCUCUCCUUGCUAUGUCCAGGAAGAAGAGGGGUGAGAUUAUGGAUGUGAUGGAUAAAAAAUAAACGUCAUUCUGUGAAAACUAGAAACAUUUUGAAAAGUGGAGGGCUUUAUGAGAUGGAAGGGUUACAUUGAUCUGGAAGUAGGUUAGAAGGUUAGAGCAACGUUGUGGCCUGAAGGGCCUGUACUGUUCUGUGGUCUGUGUUGUGUUUUUAUAUCCCCACGUACAAUUCUUCCCUAUAUCAAUCCUGGCUUCCACCUAUCACCGAUAUUUAUUUAUUUGUUUAUUGAGCUACAGCAUGGAAUUGCCCCAUCCAGCCCUUUGAGCCACACUACCCAGCAACCCUCCCAAUUUAACUGUAUCCUAAUCAUUGAACAAUUUACAAUGACCAAUUAACCUACCAACUGGUAAAUUGGAAGGAAACCCACACGGUCACUGAGAGAGCUUACAAACUCCUUCCACACAGCAGCGGGAAUUGAACCCGGGUCACUGGUAUGGUAAAGCAUUGUGCAAAUCACCACGCUACUGUGGCCUCCACUGCAGUCUGAGGCAGAGCAUUCCACAGAUUUACUACUCUCCAGCUAAAAAGAUUCCUCCUUACAUCUUUUCUAAAGGGUCACCCCUCAAUUUUAAGGCUGUGUUUUAGUUCUGGGAACAUACUCUCCACAUCCACCCUAUCUAGUCCAUCCAACAUUCGGUAGGUUUCAAUGAGAUGCCCCCCCCCACCACCACCACCACGCGUUCCUCUAAAUUCCAGUGAAUACAGGCCAAAGCUGCCAAAUGCUCCUCAUAUGUUAACCCUUUCAUUCCCAGAACCAUCCUCAUAAACCUCCUCUGGACUCUCUCCAAUAACAACACAUGCUUUCUGAGACAUGGGGCCCAUAUAAGAUAUGGGAUAAAGCUACAAAGAAGAUCCAUUCAUUCGGGUGCCUUGCCGUUCGGCGUGGGCGAUCAAGUCUCUCCAUCCAUCACAGUCCCUGAUCCUCCGAAUUGUAGUUGUUAACUCCCCUGUUUCUAACCAUGAUGUUAUUCCAUUUAUCAUUUUCAUUCUCUGUCUGCCUCUGCUUCUUUUUCCUUCCAGCUUUCCAGUUGUAACUAAAUGUUCUAAUGCCUCUCUUCACAUGAUGUGUCCAGAGAAUUUUGAUUGCUGUUUUCUGAUUUUUUAAGUAAUGUAUGUUUUGUUUUCGUUCUCUGUGGAACUUCUUUGUUGGUUAUCAUGUAUACGAUAUGCAUAGCAUUCUUCUGAGGAACCACAUCUUUGCUGCAUUGAUUCUUUUUUGCAUUGCAUUUGUGAUGGUCCAUGACUCGCAGCCAUUAGAUUAGAUUAGAUUAUGAGGAUACCCAGUCCUCUUUUAUUGUCAUUUAGUAAUGCAUGCAUUAAGAAAUGAUACAAUGUUUUUCCAGAAUGAUAUCACGAAAACACAUGACAAACCAACUUAAAAACUAACAAAAACCACAUAAUUAUGACAUAUAGUUACAACAGUGCAACAGGGUCAGAGCCGUCUCUAUUUCCUGAGGAGACUGAGGUCCUUUAACAUCUGCCGGACGAUGCUGAGGAUGUUCUACGAGUCUGUGAUGGCCAGUGCUAUCAUGUUUGCUGUUGUGUGCUGGGGCAGCAGGCUGAGGAUGGCAGACACCAAAAGAAUCAACAAACUCAUUCGUAAGGCCAGUGAUGUUGUGGGGAUGGAACUGGACUCUCUCACGGUGGUGUCUGAAAAGAGGAUGCUGUCCAAGUUGCACGCCAUUUUGGACAAUGUCUCUCAUCCACUACAUAAUGUACUGGGUGGGCACAGGAGUACAUUCAGCCAGAGACUCAUUCCACCGAGAUGCAACACAGAGCAUCAUAGGAAGUCAUUCCUGCCUGUGGCCAUCAAACUUUACAUCUCCUCCCUUGGAGGGUCAGACACCCUGAGCCAAUAGGCUGGUGUUGGACUUAUUUCCUGGCAUAAGUUACAUAUUACUAUUUAAUUAUUUAUGGCGCAACUGUAAUGAAAACCAAUUUCUCCCGGGAUCAAUAAAGUAUGACUACUACUACUACUACUACACUCUGGCUAUGCUUUUUUCUCACUGCUGUCAUCAGGUAGAAGGUACAGAUACCUCAGGGCUCGCACCGCCAGGUUCAAGAACAGUUACUACCCCUCAACCAUCAGACUCUUGAAUCAAAGGGGAUAGCUAAACUCAUAAGGACUCUGUUAUAUUGUUAUUUCAUGCUAUUUAUUUAUAUCUGCAUUUGUACAGUUCAUUUAGUUAACAGUUCCUGAUGUUUACAGUUACUGUUCUACA